CUUGGGAAUUGCACGCAGUCUGAUCAGCCAUGUCGCGUGAAGGAAGAAGGCCCUAUGGUUCGUAAACUUCUUUUGCAGGGAAAUAAAGUGAGGGACGUGUCCUGUUUUGUAUGUACCCUGAGAAUAAAGAUCGGCUAACUCCGUGCCAGCAGCCGCGGUAAUAUAAU
rnacentral:rRNA from 1 species